UACGGAGGGAGCAAACGUUGUUCGGAUUUACUGGGUGUAAAGGGUGCGUAGGCGGCUACGUGUGUCAGAGGUGAAAUCCCACGGCUCAACCGUGGAAUUGCCUUUGAAACUGCGUGGCUUGAGUCCGAGAGAGGAAGACGGAAUUCCUGGUGUAACGGUGAAAUGUGCAGAUAUCAGGAAGAACACCGGUGGCGAAGGCG
rnacentral:rRNA from 1 species